rnacentral:rRNA from 1 species
GACAGAGGGUGCAAACGUUGCUCGGAAUUACUGGGCGUAAAGCGCGUGUAGGCGGGCCGAUAAGUCAGAUGUGAAAUCCCUGAGCUCAACUCAGGAACUGCAUUUGAAACUGCCGGUCUAGAGUGGUGGAGAGGGAAGCGGAAUUCCUGGUGUAGAGGUGAAAUUCGUAGAUAUCAGGAGGAACACCGGUGGCGAAGGCGACUUCCUGGACACCAACUGACGCUGAGACGCGAAAGCGUGGGGAGCAAACAGGACUAGAAACCCCCGUAGUCC